AAGCNCUAAAAUCAUUAUGAUUAAAACUUAAAGAUAUGGCGGCAACUAUAAUUUUUAGGGGAAUUUACACAAUAAUUGACAACCCUCAAGAAUGUCCUACAUAUUUUUUACCAUUUGUAUACCGCCGUCUUCAGGUACCAUUUUAGAUUGUACUAUAAUUUUUUUUUAAAAAAANACAGGCCAKGGNGCAGUUCAUAAAUAUGCUGUUGCNAGUUACAANAAAUUUUUUUUUUCGAAGAAACUUUUAAAAAAANAUCNUAANCNGGACUUAAUANNAAAAAAAUUUUUAAUUACUUUUUNAACCUUUUUU
rnacentral:rRNA from 1 species